rnacentral:lncRNA from 1 species
AAAGUAUCAGGAUUCAAUCCCCCAUCCCGAUGGAUUUCUGUCUUGACUGCGCCCCCCCCCCUUCCUGGAUUUAACAGCAGCAAUACCUAAAACACGGAGGGAUCUAAGCUCGUGGCGUGGGGUGGGGGAGGGAAGGAUUUUGCAAUAUAAACAUUGUGGGGGGGGACACACCACUUUGCAGUAGGAUUGCCGGGAUCAGCCCCUCCCCCAUUCUCCUGAUUCUCAGGAGGAAGAGGGGAGGGGGGACACCUUCCUCUCCUCCCCGCCCCCCAAGUUCCACCCUUCCCAGACCCCGCCUCCGCAAAGCCCAAAUCCCCUCCCCAAUAUGUUGCUCCUCUUCCUCGCCAUCCGGCUCCUGCUUCGGGAAAGUGGGGGCGGGGUGAACCCCCCUCCCAACCUGCCUGCUUCUCCCGCAAGUGGAGCUUCUGCGCCGGAUUGCUGCUCUGCGCCGUAGCUCUAGGGGGGGGGCGCUUUCGGAAAGGGGAGGAGGGGCAGCAGGUAAAAUCCCCCCCCACCCACGUGGAUGUUGCAGGAAAGGAAAGGAGAAUCGGGAGCGAGGACAAAGAGGCAGUGUCAGAGUGACUGACAAGCUGAGAUACAAUCCAUCAGCAUCCGAUGACAGCGACUGCAUGAAUCUUCCCAGUCAAAGGACCCAUUUUCUUGAUAGACAGUGCCUGUGGCUGGAGGCUCUACACAGGUGUGCCUGUGCAGGCCAAAGACUGCCAGUAUUAGCACAGGUGAGGUGUGUGACCUUCCCAAAUUUACAGACUGUAUGUAAAUGAGAAGUUGUGGGUGGGAUUAUAUUUUACACAGCAACCCUGUGAUUUUCUCCACCCAUAACAUUUCAUGAGCUGAUAUUGCAGUACAAAUUCCAAAAUAACUACAAAAAACCCCACAAGAUAAUAAUAAUAAUUGUAGUAUUUAUACCCCGCCCAUCUGGUUGGGUUUCCCCAGCCACUCUGGCCAGCUUCCAGUACAUAUAAAAGACAGGAAAACAUUAAACAUUAAAAACCUCCUGACACAAGGCUGCCUUCUCCUGUCUUCUAAAUGUCAGGUAGUUGUUCAUUUCCUUGACCCCUGAAGGGAGGGGGUUCCACAGGGCAGGCACCACCACCGAGAAGGCCCUCUGCCUGGUUCCCUGUAACCUCACUUAUCACAGAGAGGGGCCAGCAGAAGACCCUCAGAGGAGGACCUCAGGGAUCAGAGUGAAGGA